rnacentral:rRNA from 1 species
GCCAGACUCCUACGGGAGGCAGCAGUGAGGAAUAUUGGUCAAUGGCCGCAGGGCUGAACCAGCCAAGUCGCGUGAGGGAUGACGGUCCUACGGAUUGUAAACCUCUUUUGCCGGGGAGCAAGCGUGCGUUCGUGAACGCACGUCGAGAGUACCCGGAGAAAAAGCAUCGGCUAACUCCGUGCCAGCAGCCGCGGUAAUACGGAGGAUGCGAGCGUUAUCCGGAUUUAUUGGGUUUAAAGGGUGCGUAGGCGGGAUGCCAAGUCAGCGGUAAAAAUGCGGUGCUCAACGCCGUCGAGCCGUUGAAACUGGCGUUCUUGAGUGGGCGAGAAGUAUGCGGAAUGCGUGGUGUAGCGGUGAAAUGCAUAGAUAUCGCGCAGAACUCCGAUUGCGAAGGCAGCAUGCCGGCUCCACACUGACGCUGAGGCACGAAAGCGUGGGUAUCGAACAGGAUUAGAUACCCGAGUAU